AGCUUCGGUUACGACACCCGUGGACGUUCGCACGAACUGGUCGCCGGAGCGGUUAUGCUGGGCCAUGGCGGCGACGAAUAUACCUGCUCGCACCCUCAUCACAUUUGUGGCGAUGAAUGCCUGUCGUUCCAGUUGUCGCCUGCGCUCGCCGACGACAUGGGUGUCCGCAAGGACGCGUUGCGGAUUGGCUGCGUGCCGCCGACACCUGAGCUCAUGGUCUACGGCGAACUGGCGCAAGCCGCCGGGCGCGGCG
rnacentral:misc_RNA from 1 species